CAAAGGAUUGUCAAGAUCAACGCGCUUGUCCCAAACUAGACCACAUGGAGAGGGUCUCAUUAAACUUUGGUGACUUCCGUACUGCUAGUAACUCUCUGUGCUGCAACACCACAGGAUGUAAUAAUGAAACCUUCCCUGCCCCCAGUGAAAAACCAAACGGACUACAUUGCUUCACCUGUAAAAGUGAGAACGACACUGUGUGCAACCAAAAAGUUAUAGAAUGUGUUGGCAUUGAAAACCGCUGCUUCAUCGAAACCGAGGGUAUAAAUUCCACUCUUAGGGGAUGCGUGUCCAGUAAUUACUGUGACAGACUAUCUGCCAACUCUACCUGUUGUGAUAAAAGUUGGUGCAACAGAGCUAGUGGUAUGGGGGGCCUGUCUCUCUCCCUCCUGCUGGCUCUUCCAGUCAUACUGCUGUUCUAGGUUUUAAAAGAGUGACAGAGUUAGGGUUGAGUACAUGACAACACCAGACAUAUUUCAUAUAUCUAGUUUCUUUUUUCUUUCUACUAGGUGUUCGUAAAACACUAUGUGCAGUAAUGGUACACCUGUCGUAUUAUAUCCGUUUUUAUAAAUCAGUUUGAUGGACUAUGGAUCAUGAUUACACUAGCUGACUGUGGUUUGUAACUUUUUGACAACAUUUGAAUGUAAAUAUGAUGAUUGUUUUGUUUCACAUGGCUCUCUGUGAAAUCUCAAUUAAACAUAUUUACUUCC